GCCUAUAAUAGUUGACUCCUAAUGGAUCUCCUAAAAGGGGCAAAUAUCUAAGGUUAUAAGGAUUCCUAAUUUAAGUAGGACUUAUAUUAAGAGGCUAUUUGAUUUUGAAUAGGAUUCAAAUAUUUUACCUAUUUAAAGGGGCCUUCUCUAAGGCUCUUAUCAUCAAAUUUUUAGCAGCUCCCAUACCACUUAAGAUCCCCCCACG
rnacentral:lncRNA from 1 species